AUGGUUGGAAUUACUCGUCUGCCUCAUCGUGCGCAAACUGAAGCCACUGAAAGCACCAUUGCCCAAAGGCCUAAGAAGCGCUCUCGUGUUCUUAAUGACCGAGAACUUCUUGUGGCACUUCAUCAGAAACAAGAUAAGCAUCACUAUUGGCUCAAGAGACAGAUGCAAAGCCUCUUGGUGGAUGUCAAUCGCAUUCGAAAUCUUGCCACCAAGAAUGCCUUUGUUGCUCACGAGACUUGUCGGCGAUCAUGGAAGAGUUUGACGCUGCUUAGUGCUGAAGCAGAUCUUCAAGACGAUGGCUUCGCUGAAAGAUUCCAGUUUGACUCCACUCCUCCAUGGACUGCUGUCCUACGUCAAACUCCAUCCCUUGAAGACUCUGACUAUUCUUCCUCCACGGCAACUGUGAAUGCCAGAGUGAUCGAUGAUGAAGAUGAUGCUACUUCCCCGCCUCCCACUUCUGCACGCAUCGACACUGCACCAAGUACGUCUGCACCGCCAACCAACAACGACAACCCUGCUGCUUCACCUACUCAUGAGGACGAGUAG
rnacentral:rRNA from 1 species